GCAUAAGACCACGUCUCGAAAGAAGAUGAGGUUAAAGCAGGCCUCUUCACGAAAGCUUGCACUUUAGGAUGAGCCCGCGGCCCAUCAGCUAGUUGGUAGGGUAAUGGCCUACCAAGGCUAAGACGGGUAGCUGGUCUGAGAGGAUGAUCAGCCACACUGGAACUGAGACACGGUCCAGACUCCUACGGGAGGCAGCAGUGGGGAAUCUUGCGCAAUGGGCGAAAGCCUGACGCAGCGACGCCGCGUGUGUGAUGAAGGCCUUCGGGUUGUAAAGCACUGUGGGGGGAGACGAAUAAGUGUUGGCUAAUAUCCAACAUGAUGACGGUAUCUCCUUAGCAAGCACCGGCUAACUCUGUGCCAGCAGCCGCGGUAAGACAGAGGGUGCAAACGUUGUUCGGAAUUACUGGGCGUAAAGCGUGUGUAGGCGGCUAGGUAAGUCGGAUGUGAAAGCCCUGGGCUCAACCCAGGAAGUGCACUCGAUACUGCUUAGCUCGAGUACCGGAGAGGUUGGUGGAAUUCUCGGUGUAGAGGUGAAAUUCGUAGAUAUCGAGAGGAACACCGGUGGCGAAGGCGGCCAACUGGACGAGUACUGACGCUGAGACACGAAAGCGUGGGGAGCAAACAGGAUUAGAUACCCCAGUAGUCCUGGCCGUAAACGAUGGAUACUAGGCGUAGUGGGUAUCGACCCCUACUGUGCCGCAGCUAACGCGAUAAGUAUCCCGCCUGAGUAGUACGGCCGCAAGGUUG
rnacentral:rRNA from 1 species